CGGGGUUACUCGACAUUUGAUGCUCUUCGCCACGUAUUCUUAAAACAGAUGUCAUCUCCGACUUGUAUAAAUAACAGUACAGCCAUCUUCAUCAUUAUACUGGAUUGUUUGGAAUACAAUAUUGAAGUUAAAAAGAUCUCACGAUUUUGUUAUCCGUACAAUCUGACAUAAUGGCACGAGUACUCUGUGUAGUUGUUCUAUUAACAUUGACAAUCAUUCAAACAGUUGACGCCAAUGCAAACUUAUGCAAGGACAAAAACCUCUAUGACGUAAGCCAAUAUUGUAUUUAUACAACUGAUUUGUCCUGCUUUAAAAUGAAACAAUCCA